rnacentral:lncRNA from 1 species
UCUCGAUCUUUUUCGUAGUUGAGAAGGGGGAAGGAGUCUAAAUCAAUGGACAUUAAUGAACCAUCAUUGAUGGACGUUGCACAUGACAGGAUCAAUUCGACUCAAGGUCCGGCGCUAAUAGAAGUUGCUUACUUUCCUAGUAGCGAAGGAGAGGGCAGGGCUUUUUUCGUAGUAAUAGUGGGCCGGUCUCAUGAGAUCUAUGCCGGCCGUCGGAAUCAAACGAAGGUCGAAGGACCAUUCGAUUCAUUAAGGGGCAUAGCGGCGCCGUGCC